rnacentral:rRNA from 1 species
UACGUAGGGGGCAAGCGUUGUCCGGAUUUAUUGGGCGUAAAGAGCGUGUAGGCGGCUUGGUAGGUCCGCUGUGAAAACUCGAGGCUCAACCUCGAGAUGUCGGCGGAAACCACUUGGCUAGAGUCCGGAAGAGGAGGGUGGAAUUCCCGGUGUAGCGGUGAAAUGCGCAGAUAUCGGGAAGAACACCUAUGGCGAAGGCAGCUCUCUGGGACGGUACUGACGCUGAGACGCGAAAGCGUGGGGAGCGAACAGG